UGGGGAAUUUUGGACAAUUGGGGGCAACCCUGAUCCAGCCAUCCCGCGUGUGCGAUGAAGGCCUUCGGGUUGUAAAGCACUUUUGGCAGGGAAGAAACAGCCUGGGAUAAUACCCCGGGCGACUGACGGUACCUGCAGAAUAAGCACCGGCUAACUACGUGCCAGCAGCCGCGGUAAUACGUAGGGUGCAAGCGUUAAUCGGAAUUACUGGGCGUAAAGCGUGCGCAGGCGGUUCGGAAAGAAAGGUGUGAAAUCCCAGGGCUUAACCUUGGAACUGCACUUUUAACUACCGAGCUAGAGUACGUCAGAGGGGGGUAGAAUUCCACGUGUAGCAGUGAAAUGCGUAGAGAUGUGGAGGAAUACCGAUGGCGAAGGCAGCCCCUGGGAUGAUACUGACGCUCAUGCACGAAAGCGUGGGGAGCAAACAGGAUUUAGAUACCCUGGUAGUCCACGCCCUAAACGAUGUCAACUAGCUGUUGGGGUUUUAAUUAACCUUAGUAGCGCAGCUAACGCGUGAAGUUGACCGCCUGGGGAGUACGGUCGCAAGAUUAAAACUCAAAGGG
rnacentral:rRNA from 1 species